GUGAGGAAUAUUGCGCAAUGGACGAAAGUCUGACGCAGCCAUGCCGCGUGAAGGAUUGACGGCCCUAUGGGUUGUAAACUUCUUUUGUAUAGGAAUAAACCCUCGUUCGUGAACGAGGCUGAAGGUACUAUAAGAAUAAGCACCGGCUAACUCCGUGCCAGCAGCCGCGGUAAUACGGAGGGUGCAAGCGUUAUCCGGAUUUAUUGGGUUUAAAGGGUCCGUAGGCGGAUCGUUAAGUCAGUGGUGAAAUCCUACCGCUCAACGGUAGAACUGCCAUUGAUACUGGCGAUCUUGAGUAUGUAUGAAGUUGGCGGAAUGUGUGGUGUAGCGGUGAAAUGCUUAGAUAUCACACAGAACACCGAUUGCGAAGGCAGCUGACUAAUACACAACUGACGCUGAGGGACGAAAGUGUGGGGAUCAAACAGGAUUAGAAACCCGUGUAGUCC
rnacentral:rRNA from 1 species